AUUCUCGCAUUCUUGCUCUUAAUCCUCCCUUGGCGACCUUCUACUCAGACAUCAUCUUUUAUGCAGAGAAGCAGGCACGUUUCUCAUCAUUAAUUCUGUUCUCAGCCAGGUGUGUAGCCACAGAGCAUACAGACCACAGGAUGAUUGAAAGCAUAUUGACUUUCCUGACUUCUUAUGACCACAUUUGAGGAAAGGAGUAAGCACUGGAAUCACCAACACAGCAUGCUUACGGAGGGUGGUCACCAGCUUCAUCAGCCUCCCAAUUCCACGGAGCCCCUUGAAAAUCCAGGAGCGCAGACUGGCAACAGUAGAGAUUUAAUAGGAGUUUACUGGAGGUUAUACUCCAGUCAAAGAAGAUGGAAACCAAGAAAGGACACAUUUUGGAGAUUAGCACUGGC
rnacentral:lncRNA from 10 species